AGCCACAGCCAUAUCACCCUACAGCACAAUACCAGUUACUCACUGAAGCGAAGCAGGGCUGAGCCUGGUCAGUACCUGAAUGGGAGAUCACAAGGGAAAACUAAGUUGCUGUUGAAA
ensembl:rRNA 5S_rRNA 5S ribosomal RNA